rnacentral:rRNA from 1 species
GAUGAACGCUAGCUACAGGCUUAACACAUGCAAGUCGAGGGGAAACGAUAGAGAAAGCUUGCUUUUUCUAGGCGUCGACCGGCGCACGGGUGAGUAACGCGUAUCCAACCUGCCCAUCACUUGGGGAUAACCUUGCGAAAGUAAGACUAAUACCCAAUGAUAUCUCUAGAAGACAUCUGAAGGAGAUUAAAGAUUUAUCGGUGAUGGAUGGGGAUGCGUCUGAUUAGCUUGUUGGCGGGGUAACGGCCCACCAAGGCGACGAUCAGUAGGGGGUCUGAGAGGAAGGUCCCCCACAUUGGAACUGAGACACGGUCCAAACUCCUACGGGAGGCAGCAGUGAGGAAUAUUGGUCAAUGGGCGAGAGCCUGAACCAGCCAAGUAGCGUGCAGGAUGACGGCCCUAUGGGUUGUAAACUGCUUUUAUAAGGGAAUAAAGUGAGCCUCGUGAGGCUUUUUGCAUGUACCUUAUGAAUAAGGACCGGCUAAUUCCGUGCCAGCCGCCGCAGUAA